UAUAUUUUAGUAUAUGAUGUACAGAAACUUUUGAUGUUUCAAGGGAUAGUUUAAAUCUAUUAAAUAUAA
rnacentral:tRNA from 1 species